UACGAUACCAACUGGCCAGAG
rnacentral:miRNA from 1 species